GAAUGAUUAACACUGAUUUUUUUCUCUGUUAAUCUUUAGCUUAGCAUCACUCGUGACGAGUGUAACAAAACUAAGCUGUGUUUGUCGAGUGCGUCUAACUGCGAUCCAGCAGGAAAUGGCAACUGCUUUUUCAGCUCAGUCCGGCUGGCAAACCAAGCAUUCUUCUUUGAACUCAGUGGCACAACGCCUGGAUACGUCGCACUGGCACUCACUAAAAAUAAAGUUACCACCGUGUUCGCCUGCGGCAGUAAUAAUUACCUUUUCUUUUUCCAAACGGCUACUCAAAAUGGCACCACUUUGACGCCUGUAUCUGUGAACACUGUAUACAAUGUUGUAGGUGUAGUAUCACAAAGCCAGACUCUCAUUCAGUGUGUCUUCAACACCAGCACCAGUUUCAACAUCAUCUCCAGAUCUGCUGACACCAGCUAUCAAGUCACCAUCCUGAAUGGAACCAC